GAUAAACGCUGGCGGCGCACAUAAGACAUGCAAGUCGAACGAACUUAAUCUCUUGCUUGCAAGAGAAGCGGUUAGUGGCGGACUGGUGAGUAACACGUAAGAAAUCUGCCUAUCAGAGGGGAAUAACAGUGAGAAAUCACUGCUAAUACCGCAUAUGCCAUAGGGUUCGCAUGAACCUAGUGGGAAAGGAGCAAUCCGCUGAUAGAUGAGCUUGCGUCUGAUUAGCUAGUUGGUGGGGUAAAGGCCUACCAAGGCAACGAUCAGUAGCCGGACUGAGAGGUUGAACGGCCACAUUGGGACUGAGAUACGGCCCAG
rnacentral:rRNA from 1 species